ACGAUGUUCCGCUGCAAUAUCAUAUUGGAAUGAGCGUCUG
rfam:Bacillus weihaiensis strain Alg07 chromosome, complete genome.